UACACUCCUACGGGAGGCAGCAGUGGGGAAUUUUGGACAAUGGGCGAAAGCCUGAUCCAGCAAUGCCGCGUGAGUGAAGAAGGCCUUCGGGUUGUAAAGCUCUUUUUCAGGGAAGAAACGGUGAGAGCUAAUAUCUCUUGCUAAUGACGGUACCUGAAGAAUAAGCACCGGCUAACUACGUGCCAGCAGCCGCGGUAAUACGUAGGGUGCAAGCGUUAAUCGGAAUUACUGGGCGUAAAGCGUGCGCAGGCGGUUUUGUAAGUCUGAUGUGAAAUCCCCGGGCUCAACCUGGGAAUUGCAUUGGAGACUGCAAGGCUAGAAUCUGGCAGAGGGGGGUAGAAUUCCACGUGUAGCAGUGAAAUGCGUAGAUAUGUGGAGGAACACCGAUGGCGAAGGCAGCCCCCUGGGUCAAGAUUGACGCUCAUGCACGAAAGCGUGGGGAGCAAACAGGAUUAGAUACCCUUGUAGUCCCAU
rnacentral:rRNA from 1 species